rnacentral:lncRNA from 1 species
CAAAGAGCUCAUGGCCCUUGUACCAAAAGCGAAUAAAGCAAGCCCGGGCAGAAAUGGCUGCUUGGGGAGCCUGGUCUCAGGGGGAGGACCGAGAGACACCUCAGGUCACCAGGCAACAUGAUUGGAUUCCCCAUCCCCCAGCCCAGCCCAGGAGCAAGGAGGUCGUGAGGAGGUGGAGGAAGGUUCAGAUCCCUGCCCCAGAAGAGGAGUGGAGAGCGGCAGCCAAGCUGGAGAGCCUCCAGCCUGACCACCUUUCCCCACGAGCACUGCAAGUUUUGAAAAGGUCGGAGCCGCAUCGCAGUCAACAAAGGGUGUUCAGAAGUGCUGCGGAGGAAAAGCGGCUGCGGCAAGAGCAGCAGCAGCAGCGGCUCCCCUGCGCUAGAUGCUGGUACCGCAACGGAGGGGAAGGUGCUGGGAAUGCUGAAGGCAGCAGCGGAGCUCUGAGCAAAGGGGCUGGGAAGCUCUCCCGCUUUCCACCCCUGAAUGGAAAAUAAAGAGCACAGCCAGACUGCUUGUGUCGCUUCAUCCGCCGUAGCAAAGCACUGCCCUGAUUCACACCACCAUCUCCAUUAGGCACACGGGCACAUCCCAAGGAUGCCCCGGCUUCUCCGUGCAGCACACAGGCAUCUCCCUGGAGCAGCCAACAAUCUCCCCAGACCACCAGUCUUGCUAGCAGGACCUCGGCACAAGUCCUCUGAUCAAGCCGUCUUUUCCAAGGAGCGUUCUGGCAACUCCCUGGAGAAGCCAAACAUGUCCCUGGGGAAAGUAAAAGUCUCCCCUGGGAAUACAAGCAUCUUCCUGAAGCACCCUCCAUGGCACCCAAGUAUCUCCCCAGGGAAUAUAGGCACCUCUUGAAAUCAGAAAUACUUCCCGCAGGACACGUGAGCAUUGAGCUGGAGUAGACAAGCAUCUCCCCAGGACACCUAAGCACUACCUUUUCCCUCUCAGGCAUCUUCCGAGGGCAUUCCAGCACCUCACAGGAGAUCCCAACUCUAGGUGGGUUCACCUGAACAAUUUCCGCUGUGAACCCAUCUCCUGCUGAUGCUCUAAGACAUCGCCCAAAGGCAUACAAGCAUUUCUUGGAGGAACCCAGGAACCUCUAUAGAGAACCCAAGCACCUCCUUGGAAGAAUGAAACACCUCCCUGGGGAACAGUAGAAUAACCCCAUGGGUGCCCAAGCACCUGCAUAGGUCACCCCAGAAGAUCUUUCAAGAACCAAGGAAUUCCCUCCAUUGAUGAAGCACCUCUAUGAAGAAAUCCUAUGCUGCCCCGGGUCAGAGAAACCUCCCUGGGUAAAUCACGCAACGUCCUGGAGGAGCAAAGGAUCUUCUUGGGUGUACAAGCAUUUUCCCAUGGUAGGCAAGCACCUCCCUGGGGACAACCAGCACCUGCCUCUGGGUCACUCAUCCCCUUCCCUGUGGAACACGAGCAUCUUGUCGGGACAACCAAGAACCUCCCUAAAGCACUGAACAACACACUUAGUGCAGUCCAGCAACUCCCUGGAGCACACAACCUGCUCUCUGCUGGACCCAGGCAACUCCGGAGGUUCCAAGUGACCCCAGAGGAAUCAAGCACCUUCCUAGAGAGCCCAAGGAUAUUCGCAGGGCACACAAGCACCUCCCUGGGGCACAUAAGCAUAUCCCUGGGGCAGAAGAAAAGCCUCCCUGGAGCACACAAACCUCUGCCCUCCUAACAAAAGUUUCUGCCCCUGCCAUACAACUCCUGCAACACAGAAGUACCUCCCUGGAACACCCAAGCACCUCACUGGAGCACCCAAGAAUCUCCCCACCGCACUCCUACAUCUGAGUGGAGAACCCGAGCAUCUCCUCGGGUCAUCAAAACACCACCUGGGGCACACAAACUUGCUGUCACCACUUGGAUUUUUCAGAAGUGAUAAACUUUUCCUCUCUCUCCAGAAAUGACUCUCAGUCUUUCCCAUGACAGUCAUUUCUGGAGCUUGAAGAGCUCGAGUUCCCCCAGAAGACCCCGUGGCCCCGGAGCUGUUUCUCUUAGCGACCCUUCCUCUAGGACCUUGUUCGGAAUGCUGCAAGCAACUUGGGCUUGCUGUGGCACUGAGGAUGUUGCUUCUCCUUGCAGAUGACGUCGAGGUCGAGUCGCUGAACUACCUGCAGCUAGCGCGAGCCACCUCCUUCCUGUUAUACGUUGCCCCCUUAAUUAAUUUUCAGAGAGCAUUGCAUUACUAAUAGAAAGGAAUUUAUUGAGUAAGCAACAGCAAGCAAAACAGCGCUGGGCGGCCGGGGAGUCUCGGCUCCGCCAACGGCGUGCACCUCACCCCCGCCAGGGUCCCUUUUUAUAUCUUGGUAAUUCCGGGAUUACGCAGCACAUCCUGGUAUAUUCUGCGACUGCGCGCGCUGUUGCUAGGGGGUCGUCUCUGUCCCUCUGGUGGUCGUGAAGAUGAAGGCCGUAGUCUUCCUCAGAGUUGUGGUUCAACUUCUUUUUUUAUGUGGUCAUGUUGGCCCAGCAUGAGACAGGAAGGCAGGAUGUUGAUACGCUAGGUUAGCAACUGAUCAGGAGAUGGUUACAUGAGCUUUGCAGCAGGGUCUUUGAACAAAAGAGGCAACUGAGAUGCAGAAGGAGAGAAGGGGAGGGGGUUCUCUUUUUUGUUACAUUAAGCAAAAGAAUUUUCAUAGUGUCUAGCCAAGCAU